UGGCUGACUUCCUGAGACCUGCCACAAGGCAGGUGAUGAAUUGAUCUCAUCUGGUGACUACACCUGCCUUAUUAUAGUCCCAAUUAGAGUCUCGGUCAGGAACCCCCUCAGCACCAAUUGGAUGAGCUGGAGUAGUUUGGUGAACCUCAUCAGCAUGAGUUCUAGCCUGUUCCCAGACUCGCCUACGCUUCUUGGGCAAAAGUGUGUUGGAUAGGAUCAUGUGAAUAUCAUGAAAGACAUAACACUCAGGCUCUGAGAGGUUAAGAAACUUGCCUAAGGACACACAGCCAGUAAGAAGAGAAAAAAAUCCAAGGGAGUGCAAGGGUGGCAGCAGAGAGAGCUGUAAGGAGUUUUCAGGAUUAAGGAAUGUGUAGGGGAACGUGACACCACAGAAACACAAUCAGAGGAGUCCCCAUUGUGGAAAUCUCUGCAGGACAAAGAAUCUGGCUUUUUCAACAAAAAAAGUUGCAAGAAGAGAAAAAGAGAAGGGGAAUUUGCAGGUUAAAAAACUUGAGAGACAGAUCAGCCAUGCAAACCCU